UCACCUACGGGGGGCAGCAGUGAGGAAUAUUGGUCAAUGGGCGGGAGCCUGAACCAGCCAAGCCGCGUGAGGGAAGAAGGUACAGCGUAUCGUAAACCUCUUUUGUCAGGGAACAAAGGCGGGGACUAGUCCCCGGAUGAGGGUACCUGAAGAAAAAGCAUCGGCUAACUCCGUGCCAGCAGCCGCGGUAAUACGGAGGAUGCGAGCGUUAUCCGGAUUUAUUGGGUUUAAAGGGUGCGCAGGCGGUCUGUUAAGUCAGCGGUCAAAGCCCGGGGCUCAACCUCGCUCCGCCGUUGAA
rnacentral:rRNA from 1 species